UACGGAGGGUGCAAGCGUUAUCCGGAUUUACUGGGUUUAAAGGGCGCGUAGGCGGCUUUGCAAGUGGCGGGUGAAAUCCCUCGGCUUAACCGAGGAACUGCCUGUCAAACUGCAUGGCUUGAGACCAGGAGAGGUGAGUGGAAUUCCCAGUGUAGCGGUGAAAUGCGUAGAUAUUGGGAGGAACACCAGUGGCGAAGGCGGCUCACUGGACUGGUACUGACGCUGAUGCGCGAAAGCGUGGGGAGCAAACAGG
rnacentral:rRNA from 1 species